AGUGAACGCUGGCGGUAGGCCUAACACAUGCAAGUCGAAUGGCAGCACAGUAAGAGCUUGCUCUUACGGGUGGCGAGUGGCGGACGGGUGAGGAGUACAUCGGAAUCUACUUUUUCGUGGGGGAUAACGUAGGGAAACUUACGCUAAUACCGCAUACGACCUACGGGUGAAAGCAGGGGAUCUUCGGACCUUGCGCGAUUGAAUGAGCCGAUGUCGGAUUAGCUAGUUGGCGGGGUAAAGGCCCACCAAGGCGACGAUCCGUAGCUGGUCUGAGAGGAUGAUCAGCCACACUGGAACUGAGACACGGUCCAGACUCCUACGGGAGGCAGCAGUGGGGAAUAUUGGACAAUGGGCGCAAGCCUGAUCCAGCCAUACCGCGUGGGUGAAGAAGGCCUUCGGGUUGUAAAGCCCUUUUGUUGGGAAAGAAAAGCAGCAGGUUAAUACCCCGCUGUUCUGACGGUACCCAAAGAAUAAGCACCGGCUAACUUCGUG
rnacentral:rRNA from 1 species